rnacentral:lncRNA from 1 species
UACUUACUACAAUUUUCUUUUCAUUGAUAGACGAAGAUAUGAGUUUUUUUUAAAGUAGUGACGAAUUAUUUAUGUCUCCUGAUUUUUAGGACGUGUCUUCUGAUUUUAUUCAAAUUGGACCUGGCAACACUGAAAUAAUGUCAGAAUCUUUUCUUUGACAUUAUUUACAAUUUAUAUUAUUAUACAUAAUUGGUGUUUUCACUAUUCUUAAGCUAAAAAAAAAACACCUGUUUGUCCUCCAAAGAAUACCUUAUUGGAUUCACAGGAUGAUUGAGGAUUUGAGGGAAGCAUGUUAAGACUGUGACAAUAUGGUCUUAAGGCAGCCGGCCUCAUUGAGAACAAGAAAAUACCCUGCUUUAUGUAGCGGUUGUUAUUUGUUAAUAUGACAUGUCUCGGCAGUGUAGUGACCCUGUGCUUAAUUAAGGCUUCAGGUUCAAAUCAUGGUAAACCAAAAUGAAAGCGGCCGGUUGAAAAAGUAGCAGAGUCGAAAAUGGAAAUUAAUGAGCUGCAGAAGUAAAUUUUAGAAGAAUAAUUCUCUUCUUCUUUGUUGUAUCCUUGUGGCUGAGGGACAUGACGAAUGAGGCCAUUCUUUACCAGUGUUCUUCACGCCACUCAAUCCUGGGCCCGGUGCAUGCUAGCCUGCAGUGGUCUUUGUCAGAGACGUUAUUGUGUCUGCCCAAUGUGUGCCCAUGCUGCCACUUCUUCACUUCCUUGCCGUGUCCUGUGAUUAUGGGAAGAAUAAUAUGCAAAUAAAAACCAACAAUGGGCCAUCGAAGAACAGGAGAGGGCAUGUGGGCCUUAGAGAAAGAGUUGUUAAUGUGAAGACUAAAUAAAUUCAACAAAUAAAAUCUCAACUAUAAUACUGUCUUUGGUACACCCGCUACCAUCGCGUCAAAUAGUGAAAGUGCAGUUCAGUGUAAGCAAAGACAGUGUACAAGAUAUACCACUCACCUAUGGCAUUAGUGUUACUAGACCACAUUAAUACAUAAAGACUAUUUUUCUAAACUUGUGUAUAGCUCUGUGUUGUCUUAAUAAAUCCUAUUGGAAACAC